AGUGAACGCUGGCGGUAGGCCUAACACAUGCAAGUCGAACGGCAGCACAGGAGAGCUUGCUCUCUGGGUGGCGAGUGGCGGACGGGUGAGGAAUACAUCGGAAUCUACUCUGUCGUGGGGGAUAACGUAGGGAAACUUACGCUAAUACCGCAUACGACCUACGGGUGAAAGCAGGGGAUCUUCGGACCUUGCGCGAUUGAAUGAGCCGAUGUCGGAUUAGCUAGUUGGCGGGGUAAAGGCCCACCAAAGCGACGAUCCGUAGCUGGUCUGAGAGGAUGAUCAGCCACACUGGAACUGAGACACAGUCCAGACUCCUACGGGAGGCAGCAGUGGGGAAUAUUGGACAAUGGGCGCAAGCCUGAUCCAGCCAUACCGCGUGGGUGAAGAAGGCCUUCGGGUUGUAAAGCCCUUUUGUUGGGAAAGAGAUCCAGCUGGCUAAUACCCGGUUGGGAUGACGGUACCCAAAGAAUAAGCACCGGCUAACUUCGUGCCAGCAGCCGCAGUAA
rnacentral:rRNA from 1 species